AUUGAACGCUGGCGGCAUGCCUUACACAUGCGAGUCGAACGGCAGCACGGGUGCUUGCACCUGGUGGCGAGUGGCGAACGGGGGAGUAAUACAUCGGAACAUGUCCUGUAGUGGGGGAUAGCCCGGCGAAAGCCGGAUUAAUACCGCAUACGAUCCACGGAUGAAAGCGGGGGACCUUCGGGCCUCGCGCUAUAGGGUUGGCCGAUGGCUGAUUAGCUAGUUGGUGGGGUAAAGGCCUACCAAGGCGACGAUCAGUAGCUGGUCUGAGAGGACGACCAGCCACACUGGGACUGAGACACGGCCCAGACUCCUACGGGAGGCAGCAGUGGGGAAUUUUGGACAAUGGGCGAAAGCCUGAUCCAGCAAUGCCGCGUGUGUGAAGAAGGCCUUCGGGUUGUAAAGCACUUUUGUCCGGAAAGAAAUCCUUGACUCUAAUACAGUCGGGGGAUGACGGUACCGGAAGAAUAAGCACCGGCUAACUACGUG
rnacentral:rRNA from 1 species